rnacentral:rRNA from 1 species
GAGUUUGAUCCUGGCUCAGAAUCAACGCUGGCGGCGUGCCUCAGACAUGCAAGUCGAACGAUUAAAGCUCUCUUCGGAGAGUGUAUAGAGUGGCGCACGGGUGAGUAACACGUAAGUAAUCUACCUUUGAGUGGGGAAUAACGUCCGGAAACGGACGCUAAUACCGCAUAAUGCAGCGGCAUCGCAAGAUGACAGUUGUUAAAGAUUUAUCGCUUGAAGAGGAGCUUGCGGCAGAUUAGCUAGUUGGUAAGGUAAUGGCUUACCAAGGCUACGAUCUGUAACCGGUCUAAGAGGACGGUCGGUCACACUGACACUGAAUAACGGGUCAGACUCCUACGGGAGGCAGCAGUCGGGAAUUUUGGGCAAUGGGCGAAAGCCUGACCCAGCAACGCCGCGUGAAGGAUGAAGUAUUUCGGUAUGUAAACUUCGAAAGAAUGGGAAGAAUGAAUGACGGUACCAUUUAUAAGGUCCGGCUAACUACGUGCCAGCAGCCGCGGUAAUACGUAGGGACCAAGCGUUGUUCGGAUUUACUGGGCGUAAAGGGCGCGUAGGCGGCUUGACAAGUCACUUGUGAAAUCUCCGGGCUUAACUCGGAACGGCCAAGUGAAACUGUCAUGCUAGAGUGCAGAAGGGGCAAUCGGAAUUCUUGGUGUAGCGGUGAAAUGCGUAGAUAUCAAGAGGAACACCUGAGGUGAAGACGGGUUGCUGGGCUGACACUGACGCUGAGGCGCGAAAGCCAGGGGAGCAAACGGGAUUAGAUACCCCGGUAGUCCUGGCCCUAAACGAUGGAUGCUUGGUGUGAUCGGUACCCAAUCCGAUUGUGCCGUAGCUAACGCGUUAAGCAUCCCGCCUGGGGAGUACGGUCGCAAGGCUGAAACUCAAAGGAAUUGACGGGGGCCCGCACAAGCGGUGGAGCAUGUGGUUCAAUUCGACGCAACGCGAAGAACCUUACCUGGGCUCGAAGCACAGUGGACCGGGGUGGAAACAUCCCUUUUCGCAAGAACUGCUGUGGAGGUGCUGCAUGGCUGUCGUCAGCUCGUGUCGUGAGAUGUUGGGUUAAGUCCCGCAACGAGCGCAACCCUUAUCGUUAGUUGCCAGCGAGUCAAGUCGGGCACUCUAGCGAAACCGCCCCGGAUAACGGGGAGGAAGGUGGGGAUGACGUCAAGUCCUCAUGGCCUUUAUGUCCAGGGCUACACACGUGCUACAAUGGUCGGUACAAACCGUCGCAAACCUGCGAAGGGGAGCUAAUCGGAAAAAGCCGGCCUCAGUUCGGAUUGGAGUCUGCAACUCGACUCCAUGAAGCUGGAAUCGCUAGUAAUCGCAGAACAGCAGGCUGCGGUGAAUACGUUCCCGGGCAUUGCACACAC